rnacentral:rRNA from 1 species
AGGCUGCAGCAAGGAAUAUUGGGCAAUGGGCGAAAGCCUGACCCAGCGACACCGCGUGGGGGAAGAAGACCUUCGGGUUGUAAACUCCUUUUCCCGGGGAAGAAUAAUGACGGUACCCGAGGAAUAAGUCUCGGCUAACUACGUGCCAGCAGCCGCGGUAAUACGUAGGAGGCAAGCGUUAUCCGGAUUUAUUGGGCGUAAAGCGGGCGUAGGCGGCCCUUCAAGUCAGAUGUGAAAUCUCCCGGCUUAACUGGGAGGGUGCAUCUGAUACUGAUGGGCUAGAGUACAUCAGAGGGAAGUGGAACUCCCGGUGUAGUGGUGAAAUGCGUAGAUAUCGGGAAGAACACUAGUGGCGAAGGCGGCUUCCUGGGAUGUCACUGACGCUGAGGCCCGAAGGCGUGGGGAGCAAACAGGAUUAGAUACCCUUGUAGUC